AAUAACCAAAUAUAACWACUUGGGCUAAGGGUCAAGUUGGUUAAUUUUCUUACAUCYUCCCCSUCCGGGAGCCCAGGUAUCAUAUACGCCGACCAAAWUAAAGAGCCUUGAAUACUAGAAGAAAGCACCUAUACACUAACAAGAUUAAGUAGAACUAACCCUAAAAUUGUGGUCUAUUUUAUUUCUAUCUUYCYA
rnacentral:antisense_RNA from 1 species